GCCUUCGCGGUGUAAUGGUCAGCACACUGAGCCGGUAUUUCAGAGGUCCGCGGUUCGAUUCCCGGCGAAGGAA
rfam:Stegodyphus mimosarum contig111448, whole genome shotgun sequence.